rnacentral:rRNA from 1 species
GACGAACGCUGGCGGCGUGCUUAACACAUGCAAGUCGAGCGGUAAGGCCCUUUCGGGGUACGACGAGCGGCGAACGGGUGAGUAACACGUGGGUGACCUGCCCUCAGCUCUGGGAUAAGCCUGGGAAACCGGGUCUAAUACUGGAUAUGACUCCAUGACGCAUGUUGUGGGGUGGAAAGCCUUGUGCGGCUGAGGAUGGGCCCGCGGCCUAUCAGCUUGUUGGUGGGGUGANGGCCUACCAAGGCGACGACGGGUAGCCGGCCUGAGAGGGCGACCGGCCACACUGGGACUGAGACACGGCCCAGACUCCGUACGGGAGGCAGCAGUGGGGAAUCUUGCGCAAGUGGGCGAAAGCCCUGACGCAGCGACGCCGCGUGAGGGAUGACGGCCU